UGGGGAAUAUUGCACAAUGGGCGCAAGCCUGAUGCAGCCAUGCCGCGUGUAUGAAGAAGGCCUUCGGGUUGUAAAGUACUUUCAGCGGGGAGGAAGGCGAUAAGGUUAAUAACCUUGUCGAUUGACGUUACCCGCAGAAGAAGCACCGGCUAACUCCGUGCCAGCAGCCGCGGUAAUACGGAGGGUGCAAGCGUUAAUCGGAAUUACUGGGCGUAAAGCGCACGCAGGCGGUCUGUCAAGUCGGAUGUGAAAUCCCCGGACUCAACCUGGGAACUGCAUUCGAAACUGGCAGGCUAGAGUCUUGUAGAGGGGGGUAAAAUUCCAGGUGUAGCGGUGAAAUGCGUAGAGAUCUGGAGGAAUACCGGUGGCGAAGGCGGCCCCCUGGACAAAGACUGACGCUCAGGUGCGAAAGCGUGGGGAGCAAACA
rnacentral:rRNA from 1 species